UACGAGGGGGGCAAGCGUUGUUCGGAAUUAUUGGGCGUAAAGGGUGCGUAGGCGUCCCAGCAAGUCCGGGGUGAAAGGUCCAGCGCUCAACGCGGACAGUGCCUUGGAAACUGCUGGGAUCGAGUGUGGCAGGGGGGAACGGAAUUCCAGGUGUAGCGGUGAAAUGCGUAGAUAUCUGGAGGAACACCGGCGGCGAAGGCGGUUCCCUGGGCUGACACUGACGCUGAGGCGCGAAAGCGUGGGGAGCGAACGGG
rnacentral:rRNA from 1 species